rnacentral:rRNA from 1 species
AGUCCCCUUCGGGGGAUGAGUAGAGUGGCGCACGGGUGAGUAACACGUAGGUAAUCUACCUUCGGGUGGGGAAUAACCCAGGGAAACUUGGGCUAACACCGCAUAAUGCAGCGGCACCACAUGGUGACAGUUGUUAAAGCGGGGGAUUUUAGGACCUCGCGCCUGAAGAGGAGCCUGCGGCAGAUUAGCUAGUUGGUAAGGUAACGGCUUACCAAGGCGACGAUCUGUAACCGGCCUGAGAGGGCGGUCGGUCACACUGACACUGACAUACGGGUCAGACUCCUACGGGAGGCAGCAGUCGGGAAUUUUGGGCAAUGGGCGAAAGCCUGACCCAGCAACGCCGCGUGAAGGAUGAAAUCCCUCGGGAUGUAAACUUCGCAAGAUUGGGAAGAAUUAGUAGGGGUUAAUACCCCCUAUGAUGACGGUACCUUUUGUAAGCUCCGGCUAACUCCGUGCCAGCAGCCGCGGUAAUACGGGGGGAGCAAGCGUUGUUCGGAUUUACUGGGCGUAAAGGGCGCGUAGGCGGUCAGCACAAGUCAGUUGUGAAAUCUCCGGGCUUAACUCGGAAAGGUCAACUGAUACUGUGCGACUAGAGUGCAGAAGGGGCAACUGGAAUUCUCGGUGUAGCGGUGAAAUGCGUAGAUAUCGAGAGGAACACCUGCGGCGAAGGCGGGUUGCUGGGCUGACACUGACGCUGAGGCGCGAAAGCCAGGGGAGCGAACGGGAUUAGAUACCCCGGUAGUCCUGGCCUUAAACGAUG